rnacentral:rRNA from 1 species
UACGUAGGGUGCAAGCGUUGUCCGGAAUUAUUGGGCGUAAAGGGCGCGUAGGUGGUCCGGUCAGCGUGCGGUGAAAGCUCGGGGCUCAACCCCGAGUCGGCCGUGCGAACUGCUGGGCUCGAGCACUGUAGAGGCAGGCGGAAUUCCGGGUGUAGCGGUGGAAUGCGUAGAGAUCCGGAAGAACACCGGUGGCGAAGGCGGCCUGCUGGGCAGUGGCUGACACUGAGGCGCGACAGCGUGGGGAGCAAACAGG